AGUGAACGCUGGCGGUAGGCCUAACACAUGCAAGUCGAACGGCAGCACAGGAGAGCUUGCUCUCUGGGUGGCGAGUGGCGGACGGGUGAGGAAUACAUCAGAAUCUACUCUGUCGUGGGGGAUAACGUAGGGAAACUUACGCUAAUACCGCAUACGACCUACGGGUGAAAGCAGGGGACCUUCGGGCCUUGCGCGAUUGAAUGAGCCGAUGUCGGAUUAGCUAGUUGGCGGGGUAAUGGCCCACCAAGGCGACGAUCCGUAGCUGGUCUGAGAGGAUGAUCAGCCACACUGGAACUGAGACACGGUCCAGACUCCUACGGGAGGCAGCAGUGGGGAAUAUUGGACAAUGGGCGCAAGCCUGAUCCAGCCAUACCGCGUGGGUGAAGAAGGCCUUCGGGUUGUAAAGCCCUUUUGUUGGGAAAGAAAUCCAGCUGGCUAAUACCCGGUUGGGAUGACGGUACCCAAAGAAUAAGCACCGGCUAACUUCGUGCCAGCAGCCGCCGCCG
rnacentral:rRNA from 1 species